ACCAGGUUCAAAGAUCUUGGGGCCCAAGGGAGGGUCCCAAUACAGAGGUUUCUGAGUGAUGGAAGGGUUCUGCGAAAGCGGAUAAUACCUCCCAUCCGGUAGGACCUUGGCUAAACCAACCAUUGAAGUCCACCUACCUGCAAACAGUGAUUGGCCCAAGGACUCUGAGCUUCAGGAGCACAGGAACUAUUGUCUUUGGACUCAAAUUUCUCCCUGCCUGGGUCCUGGUAGGGGCUCAAUAAAUAAGCAAUAAGGAAAUUGUUGGAGACCACAGAACAGCAGAUCUCUGCAGAAGGAUUCCCCUUUUCCCUGCAGCGCUGCUCACAGCAGGAAAUGAACAGAGUAAAAUGGAAUCAGCCUUUAAAUUCAGAUUAAAAGAGGGAUGCUAAUUGGAGACACCU
rnacentral:lncRNA from 1 species